GGAGGUCCUCCUCCUACAAAAUCUGCUCCUGUGACAAGAAGCAAUAGUCGGAUGGGAGGCCAAGAUCGACGAAGUGAUUGGAUUGAGGCUGACAUUCCUUUUCAUCCUGUGUUGCUAGCAGAUUCAUCUUAAUUUUUCUAAAAGCUCCUAGAAGUAUUCUUUGAUGGGACCUCUCAUGGUGCACCACCUGCACAAGGGCCUCGGAUGUCUUAUGGUGGAAGAAGCCGCCAUUAUUAUAACAAUACACGAGAUAGAUAUAGCAGAAGUCGGAGAGUUACUCAAGACACUGUGGUGAUUUUUAUUCCUGUUUUCAUGAG